UACGUAGGGGGCGAGCGUUGUCCGGAAUGACUGGGCGUAAAGGGCGCGUAGGCGGUCUGGUAAGUUAGGAGUGAAAAUCCAUAUUUCAAGUAUGGACCUGCUUUUAAUACUGUCGGACUGGAGUGCAGAAGAGGUAAGCGGAAUUCCCAGUGUAGCGGUGAAAUGCGUAGAGAUUGGGAAGAACACCAGUGGCGAAGGCGGCUUACUGGGCUGUAACUGACGCUGAGGCGCGAAAGCGUGGGGAG
rnacentral:rRNA from 1 species